rnacentral:rRNA from 1 species
AAGCGUAGGGAGCGAACAGGAUUAGAUACCCUGGUAGUCCACGCCGUAAACGUUGGGCACUAGGUGUGGGGCCCCGCUCGGCGGGGGUCCGCGCCGCAGCUAACGCAUUAAGUGCCCCGCCUGGGGAGUACGGCCGCAAGGCUAAAACUCAAAGGAAUUGACGGGGGCCCGCACAAGCGGCGGAGCAUGCGGAUUAAUUCGAUGCAACGCGAAGAACCUUACCAGGGCUUGACAUGGGGGCGGCGGCGCCGGAGACGGCGCCUCCCUUUUUCGGGCGCCCCCGCAGGUGGUGCAUGGUUGUCGUCAGCUCGUGUCGUGAGAUGUUGGGUUAAGUCCCGCAACGAGUGCAACCCCUGUCCCGUGUUGCCAGCGCGUCGUGGCGGGGACUCUCGGGAGACUGCCGGGGUCAACUCGGAGGAGGGUGGGGACGACGUCAAAUCAUCAUGCCCCUGACGUCCUGGGCUUCACGCAUGCUACAAUGGCCGGUACAGAGGGUUGCGAUGCCGUGAGGCGGGGCGAAUCCCUUAAAGCCGGUCUCAGUUCGGAUCGGUGUCUGCAACUCGACACCGUGAAGUCGGAGUCGCUAGUAAUCGCAGAUCAGCAUUGCUGCGGUGAAUACGUUCUCGGGCCUUGUACACACCGCCCGUCACGUCAUGAAAGUCGGCGACGCCCGAAACCCGUGGCCCCAUGGGGAGCGGUCGAAGGCGGGGCCGGUGAGUUUAACGAAGUCGUAACAAGGUAGCCGUAAUCUGCG